UAAAUGAAUUGACAAUUUCUGUAACAAUAUUUUGACCUUUUCACAUGGUACACUUCAGCAGAAUACUACGUGAUUUAAUUAAUACCGUCAAGAGGGCAGCCUCUGCAGCGUAGUGUUUAAAAUUCUAAAAGUCUCCUACACCCUUUUUUUCAUAAUCAAACCUCAGGAUUAUGUUAUAAAACUCUGCCUUGCAUUGUAAUUCCGUUUUAAACCCUGUGGGGUUGUUGGUAAAAAUCACGACGAGUUCAUAGUCU